UUUCAUUUAGACAGCGAUAUUUAUAGCUGACCGAAAUCGGUUUUCAAAAGCACGUCCUUUUAAAAACCGCUUGAAUAUUAGAACAGAACAAAUAAAACUGACGAGGAUAUAUGUAAGUGGAUACGCUCGUUACUUCGAAGGUCGGCCGAGAGAGGGAUUUAAAUAAUAAAAUCGACGCUUUUUGAAGAAAACAUUUCAUUCCACAGAAGUCUUUUCAUGAAAAAGUCGUAUUUCUUUUCUAACGAAAUACGAUUGGAUUGACAGGAGAAGAGAAACGGACAGUAUUUUAAUUGUACAGUUGAAAAGGUAGAAUGCAAUUCAGACCAAGUUUACGCGAGAAAUUUAUUUCCGAUUGUUGAUACGCUUACUUCUAUCACAGCAUACAGACGUAAGUUAUACGCGCUUUUACCAUACGUGUGUGUAUGUGGUAUGUAUGUAAGUAAUGUAUUCCCUCUCGUACGUGUGGCGGUGUGUGCGUACGUGAAACGAUGGCUUUUUUAAUUAGUUAACACUUUCGUAAUAGAGUUACAAUGUAUGCGUUGUCAAUUUUAUGUUGCCCACUUCUCUCGCCUUCGCACUCGUUUAAACGAUAAUCAACUAUACACCAAUCUCUACGUCCCAGUCAAGCCUCGCGCAUUGAUAUCAAACCUAGGUUACAUGUGUGAUUUUUAACUAUAUGUUAUACCAUCUUUGUUAACGUACUUAUGAAAUCUGGAUAGGUUAGGAUCGCGGUUAACGCGGGAGCAUAGAGUAUCGACAACCGGAUUUUCUGUACGCCCGCCGGGAUUUUCCAUUGAUCACGAACUAAAUCCUAAAAUGGCAGUUAUAGAAGACGUCGCUACGCUCUCGCGUUAGUAGUCGUGAUGGCUGCAUGUUUCUUACAAAAAACGAUGGAGUUUAUUGACGGAUCGACGCAGAUGACAUGGAUUUGAUAAUAAGAUGGAUCCAGAGGGUCGAUGAUAACGCGUUUGGUUGAUCUUGGUCGUAUAAUUCCUUAGAAUAAAUUGCAUAUGAAUAUCGUCGUUCAGACACGACAAUUUAUAAAAUUAUAGAAUAAAACCGGUUUUAAAAGUGAGAAAUAUCGGUCGAAAUAAUCUUUCAUCGAUUUAUUUUUUUCUUUUCUCUUUUUUUUUUCGGACUUUUCCUUUUGUAUAUGUUUCUCGUAAAGUAUAAAAUCAAGGUUCUUUCAUUUCUUUCUUAACCUUUUAAAUGCCAUAAGCGCGUGGUGCCGCCUAUACAAAGAGCGUGUGUAUUCGCGCUCUAAUUUGAACUUUCUUAUUAUUGAGAUUUUUUAAUCGCGGCCUAGUGAGUAUCUCCGAUAUAAUAUUAUACGGCAUCUAAAGGGUUAAUUUUUUUUUUCGAUAAAUCACAGUAGUUUCGUUUCCUUUUUUUCUCCCGAUGUUCACAUGCGAUUUAUAUCGAAGUCGUUCAAAGGGAUUUUAUAUUGGCCGCUAUUUUGUCAGUUCCCUCUUUUUCCCGCCAAUUCUGUUCUGCGUCGUUUCUCGUCGUGGACGUUUGUAACACUCGUUUCCCGGCAACCGACCGUAAUAAAAAUUUUCUCUUUCUCUCUCUCUCUCUCUCUCUCUCUCUCUUUCUUUCUCUCUUUCGCACGCUCGCUCGCUCGCUCGCUCUCAAUGCAAAUUACAGAAUCCUACUUCACUUUAAAAGCAUAUAUUCGUACGCAUCAGCCGUGCGCGUCUUUGUCUUUCUCUUUAUUUUCUUUCUAGUUAUAAUCUUUCGCGCUCUGUAUGCUUCAUUUCCUUCUUCUCAUCGUCACACAUUGCUUUAUCCUAAAAACGUGUGUUCCUAGUGCUACUGUGAUACGGCGGUUUUACCGUGAAAACCAUAUACGCGAAUUGUUCGAGCAGCGAAAACGCUUCUCAUCGAUUCGAUUCACCCUUUGUCCGUUCUCUAGAACGUUUUAAAAUUCGGAGUUUUAUAAUAUCCCAAUUCGGUGCGAAUUUGAAACUUAAAUAGCGCCGGGAAAAGAGACGCUUCUCUUGCUCGGGUUUAAAAUUAAAAAUAUCGAUUCUUUGGAGACAAAGCGUGGAUCGUGGUCGAGGCUUCGAAACAAUCCGGAAUCCGCUCCUUCGUUAAAUGCCUUCGAAUUGGUCUACGAGAGUUUAAUACGAUUAUUGCGUAUAUAUAUAUAUAUAUUUUUUUUUUUUUUUGCGCCGUACGCGCUGUGAGAUGGGUUCGAUCGACUAUUCCGUCGUUUGCUUCCAUUCUCUUCGCGGGAGGUGAGGGGGAUCAAAGAGGCCAGCGAGAUACAUCUCUUGCGGCGUGGCGAGAUUAUAGCGACCGCUCAGGCGACUUCCGGUCAGACCGUUAUUAUGAUGCGUGUGAUUCACGUGGAGAUGGUUCACGUUCAGGACAACGUUCUUUUUUUUCUUGCGAGCUUUGUGUCGAUAGAGG